rnacentral:rRNA from 1 species
AGAGUUUGAUCCUGGCUCAGAAUGAACGCUGGCGGCAUGCCUCAUACAUGCAAGUCGAACGGCACCUUCGGGUGCAGUGGCGCACGGGUGAGUAGCGCGUGGGAACCUGCCCAGCAGUGGGGGAUAACCGAGGGAAACUUCGGCUAAUACCGCAUGCGCCCGGUGGUAACAUCGGGGAAAGAUUUAUCGCUGUUGGAGGGGCCCGCGUCGGAUUAGCUAGUUGGUGGGGUAACGGCCUACCAAGGCUAUGAUCCGUAGCUGGUCUGAGAGGAUGAUCAGCCACACUGGGACUGAGACACGGCCCAGACUCCUACGGGAGGCAGCAGUAGGGAAUAUUGGACAAUGGGCGAAAGCCUGAUCCAGCAAUGCCGCGUGAGUGAGGAAGGCCUUAGGGUUGUAAAGCUCUUUCGCACGCGACGAUGAUGACGGUAGCGUGA